rnacentral:rRNA from 1 species
ACGAACGCUGGCGGCGUGCUUAACCCAUGCCAGUCGAGCGGAAAGGCCCUUCGGGGUACUCGAGCGGCGAACGGGUGAGUAACACGUGAGUAACCUGCCCCAGACUUUGGGAUAACCCUCGGAAACGGGGGCUAAUACCGGAUACGACACAGCUUCGCAUGGGGUCUGUGUGGAAAGUUUUUCGGUUUGGGAUGGGCUCGCGGCCUAUCAGCUUGUUGGUGGGGUGAUGGCCUACCAAGGCGACGACGGGUAGCCGGCCUGAGAGGGCGACCGGCCACACUGGGACUGAGACACGGCCCAGACUCCUACGGGAGGCAGCAGUGGGGAAUAUUGCACAAUGGGCGGAAGCCUGAUGCAGCGACGCCGCGUGAGGGAUGACGGCCUUCGGGUUGUAAACCUCUUUCAGCAGGGACGAAGCGUAAGUGACGGUACCUGCAGAAGAAGCGCCGGCCAACUACGUG